GGCUUACCGUUUCAGAGGGCGAAUCCAUUAUCCUCAUAUUGAGAGGCAGACAGGCAUGGUACUGUAGAUGAGAGCUUUAUAUCCUCAUCCACAGGCAGCUGGCAGCAGGCAGAAUGAGAGAGGGGAUGGGGGAAGGGAGAGAGGAGAGACAGACUGGACCUAGUGUGGGCUAUUGAAACCUCAAAGCCCACUUCCAGCCACACAGCUCUUUUAACAAGGACACAACUCCUCCAACAGUCACGCCUCCCAGACACUUCAUCAAAUGGUGAUUUAGCACGGAAAUAUAUGAGAAUGUAUGAGGCCGUUCUCAUUUAAACUGCCACUCAUGGGAUGGCUGCCUGGUUACAUGGGUGCUGGGAUCGAACUUCGAUUCUCAUGAUUACACAGAAUCCUAUGAAGAGGAGCUGAGUAUCCAAUUGUAACUGUGGCUUAAGGAUCCAGAUGACAUCUCCAUGAAACCUGUGUCUAUCACUCCAAGCUAUAUGCCCUUGUUUGAGGCUGUGAUUACUUAUGAAUAGAAAGGGAGCCUGAAAAGAUGGCCUUAGUGGUUAAACGCAGUAACUGUUCUUGCAGAGGACUCAAGUUAGGUUUCCACCACUCAUGAUGUGAGACUCACAACUGCCUAUAACUCCAACUAUAGACAUCCAACUCCACCUCUUGGCCCCCAGAAGCACUGAAUUCAAAUAUACCUACCACACAGAGACACAAGCAUGUAGACAUAAGAAAUAACAUUGU
rnacentral:lncRNA from 1 species